GGGGAAUAUUGCACAAUGGGGGAAACCCUGAUGCAGCAACGCCGCGUGAGUGAUGACGGCCUUCGGGUUGUAAAGAUCUGUCUUCAGGGACGAUAAUGACGGUACCUGAGGAGGAAGCCACGGCUAACUACGUGCCAGCAGCCGCGGUAAUACGUAGGUGGCAAGCGUUGUCCGGAUUUACUGGGCGUAAAGGGAGCGUAGGCGGACUUUUAAGUGAGAUGUGAAAUACCCGGGCUCAACCUGGGUGCUGCAUUUCAAACUGGAAGUUUUGAGUGCAGGAGAGUAGAGUGGAAAUCCUAGUGUAGCGGUGAAAUGCGUAGAGAUUAGGAAGAACACCCGUGGCGAAGGCGACUCUCUGGACUGUAACUGACGCUGAGGCUCGAAAGCGUGGGGAGC
rnacentral:rRNA from 1 species